AGUGAACGCUGGCGGUAGGCCUAACACAUGCAAGUCGAACGGCAGCACAGUAAGAGCUUGCUCUUACGGGUGGCGAGUGGCGGACGGGUGAGGAAUACAUCGGAAUCUACUUUUUCGUGGGGGAUAACGUAGGGAAACUUACGCUAAUACCGCAUACGACCUACGGGUGAAAGCAGGGGAUCUUCGGACCUUGCGCGAUUGAAUGAGCCGAUGUCGGAUUAGCUAGUUGGCGGGGUAAAGGCCCACCAAGGCGACGAUCCGUAGCUGGUCUGAGAGGAUGAUCAGCCACACUGGAACUGUGACACGGUCCAGACUCCUACGGGAGGCAGCAGUGGGGAAUAUUGGACAAUGGGCGCAAGCCUGAUCCAGCCAUACCGCGUGGGUGAAGAAGGCCUUCGGGUUGUAAAGCCCUUUUGUUGGGAAAGAAAAGCAGCAGGUUAAUACCCCGCUGUUCUGACGGUACCCAAAGUAUAAGCACCGGCUAACUUCGUG
rnacentral:rRNA from 1 species